AGCGAACGCUGGCGGCAGGCUUAACACAUGCAAGUCGAGCGGGCAUAGCAAUAUGUCAGCGGCAGACGGGUGGGUAACGCGUGGGAACGUACCUUUUGGUUCGGAACAACACAGGGAAACUUGUGCUAAUACCGGAUAAGCCCUUACGGGGAAAGAUUUAUCGCCGAAAGAUCGGCCCGCGUCUGAUUAGCUAGUUGGUGAGGUAAUGGCUCACCAAGGCGACGAUCAGUAGCUGGUCUGAGAGGAUGAUCAGCCACAUUGGGACUGAGACACGGCCCAAACUCCUACGGGAGGCAGCAGUGGGGAAUAUCGGACAAUGGGCGCAAGCCUGAUCCAGCCAUGCCGCGUGAGUGAUGAAGGCCCUAGGGUUGUAAAGCUCUUUUGUGCGGGAAGAUAAUGACGGUACCGCAAGAAUAAGCCCCGGCUAACUUCGUGCCAGCCGCCGCCGUAACAC
rnacentral:rRNA from 1 species